rnacentral:rRNA from 1 species
GCUAGUAAUCGCGGAUCAGCAUGCCGCGGUGAAUACGUUCCCGGGCCUUGUACACACCGCCCGUCACACCAUGGGAGUUGGGAGCGCCCGAAGCCGGUGAGGUAACCGAGAGGAGCCAGCCGUCGAAGGUGAGACCAAUGACUGGGGUGAAGUCGUAACAAGGUACC